GAUGAACGCUGGCGGCGUGCCUAAUACAUGCAAGUCGAGCGAACAGACGAGGAGCUUGCUCCUCUGACGUUAGCGGCGGACGGGUGAGUAACACGUGGAUAACCUACCUAUAAGACUGGGAUAACUUCGGGAAACCGGAGCUAAUACCGGAUAAUAUAUUGAACCGCAUGGUUCAAUAGUGAAAGACGGUUUUGCUGUCACUUAUAGAUGGAUCCGCGCCGCAUUAGCUAGUUGGGAAGGUAACGGCUUACCAAGGCAACGAUGCGUAGCCGACCUGAGAGGGUGAUCGGCCACACUGGAACUGAACCACGGUCCAGACUCCUACGGGAGGCAGCAGUAGGGAAUCUUCCGCAAUGGGCGAAAGCUUGACGGAGCAACGCCGCGUGAGUGAUGAAGGUCUUCGGAUCGUAAAACUCCGUUAUUAGGGAAGAACAAAUGUGUAAGUAACUAUGCACGUCUUGACGGUACCUAAUCAGAAAGCCACGGCUAACUACGUG
rnacentral:rRNA from 1 species